rnacentral:rRNA from 1 species
GUUUUUGUAGUAAUACAAGGCAUACGGCUCAGUAACACGUAGUCAACCUACCCUAUGGACGAGGAUAAUCUCGGGAAACUGAGCAUAAUACUCGAUAGAUCAUAAUGCCUGGAAUGGUUUAUGGUUGAAAUGAUUCUUUCGCCAUAGGAUGGGACUGCGGCCUAUCAGCUUGUUGGUGAGGUAAAGGCCCACCAAGGCAAUUACAGGUACGGGCUCUGAGAGGAGAAGCCCGGAGAUGGGUACUGAGACAAGGACCCAGGCCCUAUGGGGCGCAGCAGGCGAGAAAACUUUGCAAUGUGCGAAAGCACGACAAGGUUAAUCCGAGUGAUUCCUGCUAAAGGAAUCUUUUACCAGUUCUAAAAAUACUGGCGAAUAAGGGGUGGGCAAGUUCUGGUGUCAGCCGCCGCGGUAAAACCAGCACCUCAAGUGGUCAGGAGGAUUAUUGGGCCUAAAGCAUCCGUAGCCGGCUCUGUAAGUUUUCGGUUAAAUCUAUAUGCUCAACGUAUAGGC